UACGUAGGGCGCAAGCGUUAUCCGGAAUUAUUGGGCGUAAAGAGCUCGUAGGCGGUUUGUCGCGUCUGCCGUGAAAGUCCGGGGCUCAACUCCGGAUCUGCGGUGGGUACGGGCAGACUAGAGUGAUGUAGGGGAGACUGGAAUUCCUGGUGUAGCGGUGAAAUGCGCAGAUAUCAGGAGGAACACCGAUGGCGAAGGCAGAUCUCUGGGCAUUAACUGACGCUGAGGAGCGAAAGCAUGGGGAGCGAGCAGG
rnacentral:rRNA from 1 species